rnacentral:rRNA from 1 species
GACGAACGCUGGCGGCGUGCCUAAUACAUGCAAGUCGAGCGAAGUUUUUCUGGUGCUUGCACUAGAAAAACUUAGCGGCGAACGGGUGAGUAACACGUAAAGAACCUGCCUCAUAGACUGGGACAACUAUUGGAAACGAUAGCUAAUACCGGAUAACAGUAUUUCUCGCAUGAGAGAUAUUUAAAAGUUGGUUAUGCUACACUCUGAGAUGGCUUUGCGGUGCAUUAGCUAGUUGGUGGGGUAAAGGCCCACCAAGGCGACGAUGCAUAGCCGACCUGAGAGGGGGAUCGGCCACACGGGAACUGAGACACGGCCCAGACUCCUACGGGAGGCAGCAGUAGGGAAUCUUCCGCAAUGGGCGAAAGCCUGACGGAGCAACGCCGCGUGAGUGAAGAAGGAGUUCGGUUCGUAAAGCUCUGUUGUUAGGGAAGAAUGGAUAUGUAGUAACUAUACAUGUAAGAGACGGUACCUAACCAGAAAGCCACGGCUAACUACGUG